GUGGCAAAUCUAGAAACAAUACAUGCGUACAGGCGUGACUUUGGGGGAGGGCUGCAUUUAUUUGACUUAAGCCAAUACCCCUCGGGGUUGUUUUGGUGAUUCAGAAUAACUGAGCGAAUCGCAUAGCUGUCGGGCGGGGAUGAAUCAUUCAAGUUUCUGCCCCAUCAGCUGUCGAUGGUAGGGUAUAGGCCUACCAUGGCUGUCACGGGUGACGGAGAAUUAGGGUUCGAUUCCGGAGAGGGAGCCUGAGAGAGGGCUACCACAUCCAAGGAAGGCGGCAGGCGCGUAAAUUGCUCAAUGUUGACUCGACGAAGUGGUGACGAGAAUUAACAAUGCGGAGCGCUCAGCGUUUUGCAAUUGGAAUGAGGGCAAUGUAAAAGCCUCAUCGAGGAUCCAUUGGAGGGCAAGUCUGGUGCCAGCAGCCGCGGUAAUUGCAGCUCCAAGAGCGUAUACUAAAGUUGUUGCAGUUAAAAAGCUCGUAGUUGAGCCUCUGGUAGGGCCGACCUUGGCGCGCGGUGAAUGCCGCGUUGCUUGAAAGCG
rnacentral:rRNA from 1 species